rnacentral:lncRNA from 1 species
GUGUAACAGUAUCGCAUGAGCCAAGACUGUCAUGAAACUAUUUGGAUACUGUACUCUGGUUCCUUCAUCUCCUCCAUCUGCAUCAGCCUAAAUUGUCCUAGAGCCUCUGCCAUGAACCCGGGGAUAAGUGAGGAAAGAAAUUUUUCCUCCUUCACAGUAUCAAGUGCCAGGCCAGGGCACUUUGUCCAGGCCUCACUGUGAAGAAAGAGUAAUGUUCAAGGAUGGCAGCAGGAAGGACCCUAAUGAAGAGGUUUAUCUGAUUGGUUUACUGGAGUCCUAUGUGGGAUGAAUAGCUUCAGCCUUUGCGCUUGCACCUCUUUGCUGUCCACUCCAAUCAAGAACGGGGGCCCUCGCAACUCUCUCAGUUCUGAAACAAAUUAAAUCUCAGUGACAGACUC